rnacentral:tRNA from 1 species
GGUGUAGCCAAGUGGUAAGGCAACGGACUUUGACUCCGUCAUUCCGCUGGUUCAAAUCCAGCCAC